rfam:Beta vulgaris subsp. vulgaris Bvchr6.sca027.con0017.1, whole genome shotgun sequence.
AUACCUUUCUCGGCCUUUUGGCUAAGAUCAAGUGUAGUAUCUGUUCUUAUCAGUUUAAUAUCUGAUACGUGGGUCAUCGACCCACAAUGAUAUUAAAUUUAUUUUUUAAGGGGGAGCAUCCACCACAGUAGCUUGCUACUGGGAUCCUCAAGUGUCGCCCAUGCGUUGCACUAUUGCUUGGGCACAGGCGCGUCCCAC